rnacentral:tRNA from 1 species
GGGGAUGUAGCUCAGAUGUUAGAGCACUCCUUGGCAUGCGAGAGGUACAGGGAUUGAUACCCCACAUCUCCA